UGCAAGUCGAACGGUAGCAGGAGAAGGCUUGCUUUCUUGCUGACGAGUGGCGGACGGGUGAGUAAUGCUUGGGAAUCUGGCUUAUGGAGGGGGAUAACGACGGGAAACUGUUGCUAAUACCGCGUAUUAUCGGAAGAUGAAAGUGCGGGACUGAGAGGCCGCAUGCCAUAGGAUGAGUCCAAGUGGGAUUAGGUAGUUGGUGGGGUAAAGGCCUACCAAGCCUGCGAUCUCUAGCUGGUCUGAGAGGAUGACCAGCCACACUGGAACUGAGACACGGUCCAGACUCCUACGGGAGGCAGCAGUGGGGAAUAUUGCGCAAUGGGGGGAACCCUGACGCAGCCAUGCCGCGUGAAUGAAGAAGGCCUUAGGGUUGUAAAGUUCUUUCGGUAUUGAGGAAGGUUGAUGUGUUAAUAGCACAUCAAAUUGACGUUAAAUACAGAAGAAGCACCGGCUAACUCCGUGCCAGCAGCCGCGGUAAUACGGAGGGUGCGAGCGUUAAUCGGAAUAACUGGGCGUAAAGGGCACGCAGGCGGUUAUUUAAGUGAGGUGUGAAAGCCCCGGGCUUAACCUGGGAAUUGCAUUUCAGACUGGGUAACUAGAGUACUUUAGGGAGGGGUAGAAUUCCACGUGUAGCGGUGAAAUGCGUAGAGAUGUGGAGGAAUACCGAAGGCGAAGGCAGCCCCUUGGGAAUGUACUGACGCUCAUGUGCGAAAGCGUGGGGAGCAUACAGGAUUAGAUAUCCUGGUAGUCCACGCUGUAAACGCUGUCGAUUUGGGGGUUGGGGUUUAACUCUGGCGCCCGUAGCUAACG
rnacentral:rRNA from 1 species